rnacentral:lncRNA from 1 species
GACAAGACUACACCCAUGCAUAGUGAUAUUAGCAAGGAAUAUGAGAAACAUAGCAAUCACUCCCCUGUAAUAAUGUUGCUCUGCCGGCCCAAUACACGAGAGGGGGACUAUAUAAGAAUCAAUGAAGCUGUCACUAUCACGAACUACCCCACGAUCUGGCAUAUUGGGUACAAUCGCAGAUAAAUACGGUAUAAGCACCACGCCUACACAAUAUCUAUCAUUUACCCAUGGAUCCGAUGGAUAAACGCUAUACGAUCCUAAGCAUGUAUAUAGAUCGUAUCUAACUAAGCCAAGUACAUA